rnacentral:rRNA from 1 species
UACGUAGGUCCCGAGCGUUGUCCGGAUUUAUUGGGCGUAAAGCGAGCGCAGGUGGUUUAUUAAGUCUGGUGUAAAAGGCAGUGGCUCAACCAUUGUAUGCAUUGGAAACUGGUAGGCUUGAGUGCAGGAGAGGAGAGUGGAAUUCCAUGUGUAGCGGUGAAAUGCGUAGAUAUAUGGAGGAACACCGGUGGCGAAAGCGGCUCUCUGGCCUGUAACUGACACUGAGGCUCGGAAGCGUGGGUAUCGAACAGG